UGCCUACAACAUAGCAUUAAUGCACCAGAUCCCAUUAGAACUUCACAAUUAAGAGCCAUGCUAGAGUAGUAUUGGGAUGGGUGAUUGCUCAGGAAGUCCUAGUGUUUUAAAUGC
rnacentral:rRNA from 1 species